rnacentral:rRNA from 1 species
AGAGUUUGAUCAUGGCUCAGAAUCAACGCUGGCGGCGCGCUUAACACAUGCAAGUCGCACGAGAAAGGGAGCAAUCCUAAGUAAAGUGGCGCACGGGUGAGUAACACGUGGAUCAUCUACCUUUUAGUGGGGAAUACCUCUGGGAAACCGGAGACAAUACCGCAUAAGCCCGCAAGGGGAAAGCAGCAAUGCGCUGAAAGAGGAGUCCGCGGCCGAUUAGCUAGUUGGCGGGGUAACGGCCCACCAAGGCGAAGAUCGGUAGCCGGCCUGAGAGGGCACACGGCCACACUGGCACUGAAACACGGGCCAGACUCCUACGGGAGGCAGCAGUGGGGAAUCUUGCACAAUGGGCGAAAGCCUGAUGCAGCGACGCCGCGUGAGCGAUGAAGCCCUUCGGGGUGUAAAGCUCUUUCGACGGGAACGAUAAUGACGGUACCCGGAGAAGAAGCUGCGGCUAACUACGUGCCAGCAGCCGCGGUAAUACGUAGGCAGCGAGCGUUGUUCGGAAUUACUGGGCGUAAAGAGUGUGUAGGCGGUGUUCCCAGUCUGUUGUGAAAUCUCCCGGCUUAACUGGGAGGGUGCAGCGGAAACUAGAAUGCUAGAGGGUGGGAGAGGUAAGCGGAAUUCCUGGUGUAGCGGUGAAAUGCGUAGAUAUCAGGAGGAACACCUGGUGUAGACAGCUUACUGGACCACUUCUGACGCUGAGACACGAAAGCGUGGGUAGCAAACAGGAUUAGAUACCCCGGUAGUCC